rnacentral:tRNA from 1 species
GCCCAUGUAGCUCAGCCGGUAGAGCGCUUCCUUGGUAAGGAAGAGGUUCACCAGUUCAAUUCUGGUCAUGGGCUCCA